GUAGUCUGCAACUCGACUACAUGAAGCUGGAAUCGCUAGUAAUCGCGAAUCAGAAUGUCGCGGUGAAUACGUUCCCGGGUCUUGUACACACCGCCCGUCACACCAUGGGAGUCGGAAAUGCCCGAAGUCAGUGACCUAACCGAGAGGGAGGAGCUGCCGAAGGUGGAGCCGGUAACUGGGGUGAAGUCGUAACAAGGUAUC
rnacentral:rRNA from 1 species